rnacentral:lncRNA from 1 species
UAUAAAUUAUAUAUAAACAUGUAUAUAUUCUGAUACAUUUAUGUACAAUUUUAAAAUAAUUCAAAUUAUAGUCCAAAAAUAAAGUCAGAAUAAGCUUUUUUUUCUUCUUUUUUUGAGACAGAGUCUCGCUCUGUCACCCAGGCUGGAGGGCAGUUGAGUGAUCUUGGCUCACUGCUACCUCCACCUCCCAGGUUCAAGCAAUUCUUCUGCCUCAGCCUCCCAAGUACCUGGGAUAACAAGUGCCCACCACCACAUCUGGCUAAUUGUUCUAUUUUUAGUAGAAAUGGGGUUUCGCCAUGUUGGCCAGGCUGGUCUUGAACACCUAACCUCAAGUGGUCCACCCACCUUGGCCUCCCAAAGUGCUGAGAUUACACACUUGAGCCACUGCACCUGGCUAGAAUAAGCUCUUAAAGAAAAUUAAAGAUUAUAUAAGAAUGACACAUAUACACUUUAGUUUGAUUAGCUCUUAAUACUAUUUCAAGACUAUCUACUGUGAUGCUGGUGUACAAUUUUCUUGAAUUUAGAUACAAAGGGGAGACAUAAAAAGGGGCACAGCCCUAAAGGCAUUAGCAAAAGAUACAAGGGCUCUGCUUCCUGGAAUUGUGUUGUAUAAAGUCAGAACCUCCUGGAAGCAGGUGCCAAGACAGGAUUAAUGAUGAAAUGGUGUUUAACCUCAUGUUUUGUGAUUUGGGUUCUUUUUUGGUGCCAUGUAAAUUUUAAAAUAGUUUUUUCCUAAUUCUGCGAAGCAAUAAAGUGGAUACUGCUAUUGUCUCACUUAUACAGAUAAGAAACCUGAAGUUCAGAGACAUCAAACAAGUCACCUGAAAUCAC